rnacentral:misc_RNA from 1 species
UUACCUUUGGAGAAAGGCUCCUAGAGUAACUCCUCUUCGAGCUCUUCCUCACCCUUGGGGAAAGGCUUCGAGAGUAACUCCUUGAACUUCUUUUUGAUGUAGGAGAAAUGCUGCAUGAGUAGCUCCUCCUUGAGCUCCUUCUUGGUCUAGGGGAAAUGCUGCUUGAGUAGCUCCUCCUUGAGCCUCUCCUCGUCCUUGGUGGGGUAGGACUCCGGGAGACAGAAGGAUGAUGAUAUCUUCUAUAGU